UGAGUACGAGAUGCUACGGCAUCGAAGCAGUCUAUGUCAUACUUCCAAGAAAAGCUUGCACUGUCAUAAACAAAGAAUGCCUGUACCAUAACCGACACAGGUGGGUAGGUAGAGUAUACUAAGGGGCGCGAGAUAACUCUCUCUAAGGAACUCGGCAAAAUGACUCCGUAACUUCGGGAGAAGGAGUGCCUUAUUUCUAAGGUUGCAAUAACAAGAUCCAAGCAACUGUUUACCAAAAACACAGGUCUCCGCUAAGUCGUAAGACGAUGUAUGGGGGCUGACGCCCGCCCAGUGCCAGAAGGUUAAAGAAGUUGGUUAGCAUUAGCGAAGCUGAUAACUGAAGCCCUGGUGAACGGCGGCCGUAACGAUAACGGUCCUAAGGUAGCGAAAUUCCUUGUCGGGUAAGUUCCGACCCGCACGAAAGGCGUAAUGAUUUGGAUACUGUCUCGGAGAGGGGCUCGGUGAAAUAGACUUGUCUGUGAAGAUGCGGACUACCUGCACCUGGACAGAAAGACCCUAUGAAGCUUUACUGUAACUUGAGAUUGAAAUUGGACUUUAUUUGCGCAGUAUAGGUGGGAGGCGUUGAGAAUAAUCUUGCGGGAUUGUUGGAGCCAUCAGUGAGAUACCACUCUUGUAAUGUUAGAUUUCUAACUUUGUAUCAUUAUCUGGUCAAGGAACAGUUUCAGGCGGGCAGUUUGACUGGGGCGGUCGCCUCCCAAAGGGUAACGGAGGCGCACAAAGGUUUCCUCUGAACGGGUAGAAAUCGUAUCUAGAGUGUAAAGGCAUAAGGAAGCUUGACUGUGAGACCUACAAGUCGAGCAGGGACGAAAGUCGGUCUUAGUGAUCUGACGGUGCUGAGUGGAAAGGCCGUCACUCAACGGAUAAAAGUUACUCUAGGAUAACAGGCUGAUCUCCCCCAAGAGUUCACAUCGACGGGGAGGUUUGGCACCUCGAUGUCGGCUCAUCGCAUCCUGGGGCGGUAGUCCGUCCCAAGGGUUGGGCUGUUCGCCCAUGAAAGCGGUACGCGAGCUGGGUUCAGAACGUCGUGAGACAGUUCGGUCCAUAUCCGGUGUAGGCGUUAGAAUAUUGAGAGGAGCCUUCUCUAGUACGAGAGGACCGAGAAGGACAUACCUCUGGUGUACCAGUUAUCGUGCCAACGGUAAACGCUGGGUAGCUAUGUAUGGAGUGGAUAACCGCUGAAAGCAUCUAAGUGGGAAGCCCACCUCAAGAUAAGUAUUCC
rnacentral:rRNA from 1 species